rnacentral:RNase_P_RNA from 2 species
CGCGCAGGACGGGUGAUCGCCGGCAGGCAUUUGUCUGCGGGAGGAAAGUCCGGGCUCCGUAAAGCAAGGUACUGGUUAAUGGCCAGGCACGAUUUCCACAAGGACCUCGUGACGGAAAGUGCAACAGAGAAUAUACCGCCGCUAGCGAUAGCUAGUGGUAAGGGUGAAACGGUGGGGUAAAAGCCCACCGCUGCUGCGGUGACGCAGCAGGCACGGCAAACCCUACCUGGAGCAAGGCCAAAUAGGGAGGCUAGGUCCGCUUGACCAUACGCCUUCGGGUAAGGCCGCAUGAAACUUACAGUAAUGUAAGUUCUAGAGGAAUGAUCGCCUCCACCAUCCUUCGGAACUAUACGUGCCGCGGUGUGGUGAAGACAGAACCCGGCUUACAGUCCUGCGCUAUUU